AAGGAUUAUGUCAAUGAAAACAGCUGGGAAAGUUCAGGAAUCAAAGAAUACUGGAUUGGCCUGAGAGCAGAAGAUGGGAAAUGGAAGUGGGUUGAUGGAAGUGAUCUUACUGAUAGCUCCUGGAUGAAACAGCCUCCUUUCACAGGUCGCUGUAUAAUUUCUGUCAAGGACCAAGGAUGGAAAUCAGUGAGCUGUGAAGACAAGAACGGAUGGAUCUGUGAAAAGAAGGCUUUAUCUCUUUAAACUAUAAUUAAACUAGAGUAGGCUACUAGAUAGUCUGAGGCUGUGGCUUGGUAGGUAGAGUAGGAGGGUUACUGGAAUAUGCCACAUGCUGAAGUGUCCUUGAGUAAGACACUGAACCUCCUGUUGCUUCCAGUUAUUAGAACUGGGGUGUGAAUGUGUGUGCGCUUGUGUGAAUAAAUGGUCAGAUGUGUCACUUUGAAUGUAAAGCGCUUUGAGUAGCAAUAGAUAAAAAAUAUAUAAAAUAAUCUAAAAAGACCAUUCACCAUUAAUAUACCACAUGUAAGUAAAUUACAAAAAAGACUUUUAUUUUUUCUUCAAUAAAUGAACAUGCUUCUUUCCUCAGGCUGUAAGACAAUAAAAUAACUCUUGAAUUAUGAAUUUAUACACUGUUGGGGUUCAGGAGAGGAUGAUGUAGUGCUUGUUUUUAUGUUACUGGUCUGUUGUCUUAGAGAUCUGUACUUGACUGGUUCUGGAGGUUAUGAAUGGGACUGAAGCCUCUGUUAAAGUUAAAGUUAAAGUUCACACUUGUUUCUGCUCUGAGCCAAAUGACCACAUUAGUGUGUAUAUAAACUGUAUUUUAAACUGAAGAUCAGUCCCUGUUCUUAUCUGAGAAAAGCAGCAGCCUCACCAGUGUAUGGAUGAAUACAAGUUGAAGUACAGCGCUUGAAUAUAAAAUGCUGUGCUUGACAUAUCAGUCUUUAGUCACUGCAGAAAAAACAUUUACUCAUAAUGAAUGCAAUGAAAGGUGAACUGCAGCCGAUUGGAGUGAUGUCGAUGGCUGCAUGUGUUAAAACCCAUAACAGAGAAUAGUUCGCCUCAUAACAGCUCAGCAUAAGUUUCCAACAAAAGCCAGAAAACGUCAAAACAGAAUUACUAACCAGUAUAACAUUUGUACAGUUGACUUUCAUAUUAUGAACAUAAAGAAGCAGGACCACACGUCUGCAGCUAAAAUGUGUCUAUAAUAGUAUGUAUAAUAAUAGUCAUGAUUUUUCCAGCCUGCUCUGUGUUUUGUUGGUGAUUUGCAAAUGAGGACUAGUUUGCUGCAGAUACUGAAUUUUCUUGUUGCAUCUGUUUGUGGAGAUGGAACAGAUUAAUACAUACUGUAUAUGUAUAAUAAAGAUGUGAUGAACAACUA